rnacentral:lncRNA from 1 species
CUUCACCUUUUGACUGUAUGUUCAGCUGGCAGUUAGAGACACUAGACUGGCCAAUGAUAUUUUUAGAACCAAAAAAAAAAAAAAAAAAAAAAAAAAAAAAAAAAAAAAAAAAAAAAAAAAAAAAAAAAAAAAAAAAAAAAAAAAAAAAAAAAAAAAAAAAAAAAAAAAAAAAAAAAAAAAAAAAAAAAAAAAAAAAAAAAAAAAAAAAAAAAAAAAAAAAAAAAAAAAAAAAAAAAAAAAAAAAAAAAAAAAAAAAAAAAAAAAAAAAAAAAAAAAAAAAAAAAAAAAAAAAAAAAAAAAAAAAAAAAAAAAAAAAAAAAAAAAAAAAAAAAAAAAAAAAAAAAAAAAAAAAAAAAAAAAAAAAAAAAAAAAAAAAAAAAAAAAAAAAAAAAAAAAAAAAAAAAAAAAAAAAAAAAAAAAAAAAAAAAAAAAAAAAAAAAAAAAAAAAAAAAAAAAAAAAAAAAAAAAAAAAAAAAAAAAAAAAAAAAAAAAAAAAAAAAAAAAAAAAAAAAAAAAAAAAAAAAAAAAAAAAAAAAAAAAAAAAAAAAAAAAAAAAAAAAAAAAAAAAAAAAAAAAAAAAAAAAAAAAAAAAAAAAAAAAAAAAAAAAAAAAAAAAAAAAAAAAAAAAAAAAAAAAAAAAAAAAAAAAAAAAAAAAAAAAAAAAAAAAAAAAAAAAAAAAAAAAAAAAAAAAAAAAAAAAAAAAAAAAAAAAAAAAAAAAAAAAAAAAAAAAAAAAAAAAAAAAAAAAAAAAAAAAAAAAAAAAAAAAAAAAAAAAAAAAAAAAAAAAAAAAAAAAAAAAAAAAAAAAAAAAAAAAAAAAAAAAAAAAAAAAAAAAAAAAAAAAAAAAAAAAAAAAAAAAAAAAAAAAAAAAAAAAAAAAAAAAAAAAAAAAAAAAAAAAAAAAAAAAAAAAAAAAAAAAAAAAAAAAAAAAAAAAAAAAAAAAAAAAAAAAAAAAAAAAAAAAAAAAAAAAAAAAAAAAAAAAAAAAAAAAAAAAAAAAAAAAGGCGGGGGUGGGGUGGGGUGGGUUACUUUUCAUAGCAUUGCCCAGCUCAGAGAGAACACGGCUUCUAAUAUGUAGACCCUGCCUCCUUUAAUCACUCAAGGCUUAUCAAGACCCUAGAACUAUUGUGAAAAUUCACCAACAGUUUCUCUUACUAAACCUCGUCUUUCCCAUCAUCAUCUCUUCCUCUCAAGUCUCACCAGCAAGAGCUCUGUUGCC